rnacentral:rRNA from 1 species
UUUAAUUCGAAGCAACGCGCAGAACCUUACCAGCGUUUGACAUGCCUAGUAUGGUUUCCAGAGAUGGAUUCCUUCCCUUCGGGGGCUAGGACACAGGUGCUGCAUGGCUGUCGUCAGCUCGUGUCGUGAGAUGUUGGGUUAAGUCCCGCAACGAGCGCAACCCUCGUCCUUAGUUGCCAUCAUUUAGUUGGGCACUCUAAGGAAACCACCGGUGAUAAGCCGGAGGAAGGUGGGGAUGACGUCAAGUCCUCAUGGCCCUUACGCGCUGGGCUACACACGUGCUACAAUGGCGGUGACAGUGGGCAGCAAACUCGCGAGGGUGAGCUAAUCUCCAAAAGCCGUCUCAGUUUGGAUUGUUCUCUGCAACUCGGGAGCAUGAAGGCGGAAUCGCUAGUAAUCGCGGAUCAGCACGCCG